rnacentral:misc_RNA from 1 species
AAACAGUUUUCAAGAUGUCAGCCGUCAGCACCGCUAAAGCAAAGAAAUCCGAUCCGCUUUCAAAGAAAACUCCAGAAAAUCCCAAAUAUGCACAUAUUAGGCAUACUAUCGAUACAGGUGCAAGUGUCACUAGAUACAUGGAAAAGAUUGAAGAUAUCAGGAAAAAUUACAGAUUUAAAAAAGAUGAAGUUUUCAAACGGAUGAAGGUCACCACAUUUGUACAGUUGAUUGCACAAGUGGCUGAGUAUGAGGCCAGGAACAGCACACAGUCUACAAUAGGUAAUGGUAAUUACACUGAUCGGCCAGACACGGCUGAUCUGGAGGUUCAGCACAUACAGAGGGGGAGAUAGAUUCUGCACGGCCACCCCAGGCCCCCUCCAAGGUGGAACAAUUCAGCUGUCCGUAUCUAUUGCUGGACAUCAGGGACACAGACUCCUUUGAGGACUGCCACAUCAUCACAGCAAAAAAUUACCCGACAUCAAUGUUAUCCAGGGCCACCAACUACGAAUCUAAAGACAUGCUAGCAUUUAAAAACCAGCCAGGAAAAAUCAUAGUUAUAUAUGACGAAGACGAACGACUGGGACCAAACGCAGCCACGACCCUGGUACAGCGCGGCUACGAUAACCUAUUCUUAUUAUCUGGAGGAAUGAGGAUAGCCUAUCGGUACUUCCCUGAUGGUCUCAUGACAGGCACACCUAGUCAGACAGUCACUGAGAAUCCCAAACCCCCCAAAACCAAGGAGAAGGCAUCCCAGAAGUCCUUCACGACCUUUGACCUGGAGAAACUCCACACCCAGUUAGACAGCCAGUUGUCUGACCGAAGUGUAGGAAGUCGGUUGUCCAAUGCGAGCACCGUGUCCAGUCGGAUGGGACAUACCAGUACGUCACGCGUCAGUAACGUCUCCGGCUCAGUCUCCGGACGUCCUCCCUUCAAACCCUGCUAGCCACUUCCUGUCUAUUCCAAGGUCAGAUUCUAUUGAAGACCAAGAAAGACAACUCUAUUUCAAGAAACAUACUAUACAGCAGAGUUGUCACCCUUAUGUCAUUUUCAUUCUGCUUGACUUGGAAAUGCACUCAAAUUCAUCAAAAAAACCUUGAUGAUGUCUUAAUAUGAACUUAUUGAUGAACUGUUUAUUUUGAGGAGUUCAAAUCGACGGAUUUGCACGCCAUUGAAAAUGUGUUCUAUCUAACCAGUGACCACAUUAUUCCAUUUCGUCUUGUACGAUGAAAAACUUUGAUGUUGCACAGUCUUAUGAAAGGUACACUUGGUCACUGGUGCAAUAUAAUCACGCGAACCAUGAGAAUGAAAGAGCUCAUCAAUGAAACUGUCGAUUGGAUUAUUGAAUAUGUCUUGAAACAUUUAACGUAAAUUGUAAUUAAUUUUUUUUAACAACGAAUAAGGAAAAUGUUCAAUCAAAAACAUUAAUAUACACAAAAGCGUGUAUAUUUGAACUUUUAAAAGCUCCUGUAUUCUUGAUAUACGUAGUUUUAGCCCAUCUUAUGCACUAACUGUCAGAGAUCCGUCCAAUUGUAUAAACCAGAGAGGAAGAAUUUCCCGGAUUUUAGUGGUGUGAGAGAGAAGACUAAUGUCAGGAGUGGUGAGAGAUCUGAAUGACUGUGAAUGUAAUUAUUUAUUUUUGUGAUUAAAACUUGUGUAUUCAUGUU